UACAGAGGGGGCGAGCGUUGUUCGGAAUUACUGGGCGUAAAGGGCGCGUAGGCGGCCUUCUAAGUCGAACGUGAAAUCCCCGGGCUCAACCCGGGAACUGCGUCCGAUACUGGGAGGCUUGAAUCCGGGAGAGGGAUGUGGAAUUCCAGGUGUAGCGGUGAAAUGCGUAGAUAUCUGGAGGAACACCGGUGGCGAAGGCGGCAUCCUGGACUGGUAUUGACGCUGAGGCGCGAAAGCCAGGGGAGCAAACGGG
rnacentral:rRNA from 1 species